CUGGCGGUGGCUAACGGCCAGAAACUGAACGAGAGAGGCCCUAGUCACUACAACAUCAACUCAACCAUCUACGAACUGAACGUGAUCACACAGACCUUCGUUAAGUUCCAGGACAUCGUCACAAACAGUGCGGUGGACUGGGAAUUCUUCUCGGUGGGUGAAGAGAAGUUCCUUGUUGUGGCCAAUUCUCACGAUGGAACCUCGUAUUCUUUAAACAGUGUUAUAUACAGGUGGCAGGGAUAUGAGGGAUUUGUCCCUAUCCACCGGCUCCCAACCAUCGGCUGUACGGACUGGGAAUAUUUCAAUACCACAGCAGGAUCCUUUCUCGUCUAUUCUAGUGCCACCUCUCCCCUGUCUAAAGUCUUCAGACUGAAGACGUACUGAUUCCUCACUGUUCCUGACGCUCCACGAUCUGAGCCAGUUAGAGAAACAUGGUCUGGUGGAAAAAUGGAAGGGGAAUGAA